CAUACCGCUUUUAGACACUGAGCAUUUCUAUUCGCUUCGAUUUUAAAACACGGCGCUCGCCUGACCCGAAGCCCUCUAUCUGCCUUCGAGCAGGGUACUAAAUUCACUUUACCGUUGCCAAAUUCAUCCAACCGAGUUUCUUCUCAACUCAACGUGGUUUUGUUGUACAGAAGGGAUGGUCCAUUCUCAUCAGCAUCAUAAUAUCUGUGGAUCUCUUGUUCUACAGUCAGCUUCUCUAGUCAAAUAGCCAAAGAGCAAAGACAGGACAACAGCACAGAAGAAAAAAUCAGCACAGUUAUAAACCCACCACGGUCAUCCUGGCUGAUCGCCUACGAGCGUUACGUCUCACAGACAACCAUACGACCAACAGAUCCAGCUAGUGAUUUCACUCUAAAUCCAAGAGUGGACAGCUCAAUGAAAUAUCAAUCAGCAUUGGCUGUAGGGAUGUUGUGAUAUUGGAUGAAAGGGCAUAUUUGACUGUCUUGUUGACCCCAGUGUUUGAGUUGCCAAGUUUCCUAUGGUAACUUAUUGCAGACAUGCAGCUAGAUGGCUUUGAUUCCACUUUUGAGUAAAUUUCAGGUUUUAUGAAGCUAUUGUAUCUGCCAAUGUUCUGUCUCGAGCUGUCAGAUGUUGACAAAAGCCAACUCUUAUUUUGGCGUGGUAAUGAGAAAACACAGGAAGCGGGGGCUUGCCAGUAUUCACUUGACAUUUUCAACUGUGACAAGAACAAAAUGCUCAUGUGUUUUGAUAUGAAAGCCCUUCUCAGACCACGUGCAAACGACCCUUCAGUCUUUUCUCCACCUCAGAAUAUUGAUGAUAUUUUUACAUCAGACUUUUUCUUGGCAGUGCGAGGGCUCACAGAUGUCCUCUCUGUGCUGUUCAGAUGGCUUGAGGGGGCAGGUACCAUCUGAGCUGUGUCAUGGAUGGACCGAGUCAUUUUAACAGCUCCAUGUACUUACAGUAGGUUUGACACAGUGCAUCCUGAUUGGCACCCUUUUCCCUAUAUAGUGCACUGCAUUUGACAGAGCUGGUCACUAUAUAAGGAAUAGGACGCCAUUUGGGAUGCAGCCUCAGUUUCAUGGUACCAAAAUGUUGCUGAGAUGAAAACAUUUUCUGGGAUUAAAUACAGAGGGACGAAACACGUUGAUUUGACAGGUAUUGUUAGUCACUUGUAGAUUAUGAUAUUGUACGUCCGUAGAGGUGUGGCCAUAUUACUAAGUACAUUGGCAAGUCAGAUCCAAUGAGGCACAGCACAGUACGUGCUGCUAGUCAACACACACUAACAAUACAUUCAUGUCUAGUUGGAUAUUUUACUUGUCGGUCCAAUUCUGCGAUAACACUGUGAAUGCAAAGUGAAUGUAAUGUAAUGUGUUUACUGAGUUUGAUGAUAAUUGUUUAUUGUUUUGACACAUUGUACACAGGAAAGAAUAAUGCCUGUGAAUGUCUUCAUUCAACCAGUUAGAACAGCACUUGUUGAAGAUGGGCCUUGGUAAAAAAAAGUAGUGCACUGUCGAGUGAAUAGAGUGCCAUUUAGGACGUAGAUAUUGAUUCAAAUGGGACUUGUCACAGUAAAGAGAAGUGUGCAUUGCCUUGUAGUUUAGAGUGAAUUGAAACUAAAGGCCUGUUGUUGAAUGACUUGGUCAUCAUAGUUUCUGUUCCACAAACACUCCUUUGAUAUAGUAGAUGACUCCACAGCAGGUUUGAUUUGAUGCCUUGUUAUACAGUGUGUCUGGCUGUGUUUCCCUCACAUCUUACUGAAACCUGACCUGUAAUGUAGAGAGGGACAUGUGUAAGGGAACUGAAAGAAGAAAUGCUGAACAUUUUGUUCUUUUUAUUAUUCUCCUAUUGAUAUGAAAUGGCCUUUGGGAGCCCCCUUGUUUGCCUUUUCACCAGACUAAGGACAGUUAAAGUGAUGUGAGAGUGUAGGGUUUGGGAGUACUGAGGUUCACAACAGUGAUGGGUCCAAAAUGGCACCCUAUUCCCCCCAGGGUCAAACGUAGUUGCACUAUAUAGAGAAUAGGGUGCCAUUUGGGAUGGAGGAAGAGGAAGUAUGUAUGAUGACACUGGUCAGAGGGGAUAUACAGCACAGUAGUCAACAGUCAUGUGCUUUAUAA